AAUCGUUCACUUCGUUACGGCGGAGCGCAGGCAAGCCAGGCCAUGGAACGGGGACCUGGA
ncrna:unclassified sequences Glutamine-II riboswitch (downstream peptide RNA)